GGAUGCUAGGACAAUCUGGCUGCAACAUCUGUCACCCCAUUGAUUGCCAGGGCUGGUUCAGCUGAUGCGGCUGGCUAGGCAGGUGCCCCCUUCGUCCCCCACUGCUCCAUAUGCGUCCCUCCCAAAGUUUUCUCGAAUAUAGCUGUGUUCACUUACUAGAACUUCCAAACAAGCUCACAAAGUCUCUCUUUAACAACAACACAAGUUCUUAAACUUCAAGUCAUUUCUCCAGCCCUCAGGACAUCCUUAGAG
rnacentral:snRNA from 1 species